UUUCCAUCGUAGCCGUUGCGCAGUGAAUUUAAAAAUUUCGACAAACAGUAGAGUUUAUUGAACAGCAUUUUUGAGUAUUUUUAUAGCUGAAUUAAUUCUGCUGAUUAAGGCGUUAGCAAUUAAAUUUGGAUAGCCAAGUCGAAUUUUAUUCAACUGCAAUUGAGUGAAAAAAUCCUCGACUACGAGGAUUUUUUUUCGUACUGUAAUUUUCACCUUUGGACUUAUUUAAACCCGUUCGAGUUUUGGAAAGGAAAUUUUGGGGUGAAUGGUGCAUACCUCCUGGGUCAUAUUGGUUUUAUGGAUCAUAGCUUGUCUAGGAAAGAUUCAUUCCAUACUUGGUUUGGUGCGUUUCACUUGCGAGGGGAGGUCAUCCUGAUUUAAGAUAAGUUCCUUAUCAUACCUGGUUAUAGUAGCAUUCAUUUCUUUAAUUAUCAGUUGUCACUUCAGUAUUGAUAACAAAUAGUGAACAUUGUUCUAAGUGCCGCUAUUUCACUUACUUAGUUUUCAAUAGCCAUUUGUACAAAAAUUUUCAAAAUUGUUCAUAAAAUUUUACCCUAUAGUAUUAAGGAUUUUUUUGCAUGUAAAGGUUAAUCCUGUAGUCAAUAGAUUGGUUAGUAUGCAGUUAUGAAA